GAUGAACGCUGGCGGCGUGCCUAAUACAUGCAAGUCGAGCGAACGGACGAGAAGCUUGCUUCUCUGAUGUUAGCGGCGGACGGGUGAGUAACACGUGUAUAAUCUACCUAUAAGACUGGUAUAACCUCGGGAAACCGGAGCUAAUACCGGAUAAUAUUUUGAACCGCAUGGUUCAAAAGUAAAAGACGGUCUUGCUGUCACUUAUAGAUGGAUCCGCGCUGCAUUAGCUAGUUGGUAAGGUAACGGCUUAUCAAGGCAACGAUGCAUAGCCGACCUGAGAGGGUGAUCGGCCACACUGGAACUGAGACACGGUCCAGACUCCUACGGGAGGCAGCAGUAGGGAAUCUUCCGCAAUGGGCGAAAGCCUGACGGAGCAACGCCGCGUGAGUGAUGAAGGUCUUCGGAUCGUAAAACUCUGUUAUUAGGGAAGAACAUAUGUGUAAGUAACUGUGCACAUCUUGACGGUACCUAAUCAGAAAGCCACGGCUAACUACGUG
rnacentral:rRNA from 1 species